AGAGAGAGUCCUUACCAUGCACAGAGUAAGUCUGCUGCUCUAGACGCUUGCUCAUCUCACCAGCAGGAGCACGUAUAGCGUGCACUUAAAGAAACAAGAUCUCAUUCAAAUCAGCCAGAUGUUUCUUUCAAUCCCACAGUGCUUCUUUAUUCAUUCGAGAUUCCUUUAAAUGUUCAGAAGAAGCCACUGGAGACCUUCCUGUUCCCUUUUCCCAGCAGCUACUUGUUAAAGUAUUUAAAGCUUCCAGCAACCAGAUGCACUUCAUG
rnacentral:lncRNA from 1 species